GACGAACGCUGGCGGCGUGCUUAACACAUGCAAGUCGAACGGAAAGGCCCUGCUUGCAGGGUAUUCGAGUGGCGAACGGGUGAGUAACACGUGGGUGAUCUGCCCUGCACUUCGGGAUAAGCCUGGGAAACUGGGUCUAAUACCGGAUAGGAGCCAUUUUUAGUGUGAUGGUUGGAAAGUUUUUUCGGUGUAGGAUGAGCUCGCGGCCUAUCAGCUUGUUGGUGGGGUAAUGGCCUACCAAGGCGGCGACGGGUAGCCGGCCUGAGAGGGUGGACGGCCACAUUGGGACUGAGAUACGGCCCAGACUCCUACGGGAGGCAGCAGUGGGGAAUAUUGCACAAUGGGCGCAAGCCUGAUGCAGCGACGCCGCGUGGGGGAGGACGGCCUUCGGGUUGGAAACUCCUUUCGCUAGGGACGAAGCUUUUUGUGACGGUACCUAGAGAAGAAGCACCGGCUAACUACGUG
rnacentral:rRNA from 1 species